GCUGUACAGACUGCUGCCACGCCGGCUGGCUAGGUCACUCUAAUAUCUUCAGGAGAAUCAACUUUCCUAAGGAGUGGACUCCUGGACAGGUGAUUGACAGGCCCAGCUAUACCAACUCUGAAGAAAGGAAGACUGAAAGCUUAACAUGUAAUGUUCUAACCUUUGAACACUUCAGAAAAUCAUGUCAUCACCCAAAGGUUCUUGGGCACCCAUGCAGUGCUGAGGAGGGAUUACAUCUUAUGGAGUGGGCCUUCAUCCAAUCAGAUAUUGGUUGGUUACUCCCACACACCUUGUACCACCAUUGUAUAACUUGCAUCUUACAAGCAGAUCACCACUAUAUAUCAAAGAACAACAUUGAAUGUGGCUGAGUGAGUAUCUCUGUAGUAGGAAUAAACAUCCUUUGGAUAUAUGGAUAAGUGAAGCAGUCUGCUCCUGGAAGCACCAAUUUACUACAAAAGAGGAUGACAGGCAAACAAAACCCCCCUUGUGGAGUCUGCUUCUCAUGUGGCAAAGCUACUGGGCAAAGAAACUGCCCUUUCCUCAACUGCUGACAGUAUGCUGCCCAAAUUGGACAAGCAGGACACAAAAGAAGGCAAUUGCUGAGCUUUGCUGAGAUAAGGUAUCAGGAGAUAUGUUCCUAGUUCUUCCCACACUGGACUAUGUUGUUAUCUAGGAAACAGCCUGUGACUCCAAGCAUAUCCUCUUACAUUGGACAAUGUUGAUAUCUACAAGAGAGCAUUUGACUCCAAGCACAAGACUUCAGCUACCAAAAUGGAGAAGCUGUAAUAAAGAGACUUCCAUUUUGUUCUC